rnacentral:rRNA from 1 species
AGUCGAACGGUAACAGGAUGUGCUUGCACAUCGCUGACGAGUGGCGGACGGGUGAGUAAUGCUUGGGAACUUGCCUUUGCGAGGGGGAUAACAGUUGGAAACGACUGCUAAUACCGCAUAAUGUCUUCGGACCAAACGGGGCUUCGGCUCCGGCGCAAAGAGAGGCCCAAGUGAGAUUAGCUAGUUGGUAAGGUAACGGCUUACCAAGGCGACGAUCUCUAGCUGUUCUGAGAGGAAGAUCAGCCACACUGGGACUGAGACACGGCCCAGACUCCUACGGGAGGCAGCAGUGGGGAAUAUUGCACAAUGGGGGAAACCCUGAUGCAGCCAUGCCGCGUGUGUGAAGAAGGCCUUCGGGUUGUAAAGCACUUUCAGUUGUGAGGAAAAGUUAGUAGUUAAUACCUGCUAGCCGUGACGUUAACAACAGAAGAAGCACCGGCUAACUCCGUGCCAGCAGCCGCGGUAAUACGGAGGGUGCGAGCGUUAAUCGGAAUUACUGGGCGUAAAGCGCACGCAGGCGGUUUGUUAAGCUAGAUGUGAAAGCCCCGGGCUCAACCUGGGAUGGUCAUUUAGAACUGGCAGACUAGAGUCUUGGAGAGGGGAGUGGAAUUCCAGGUGUAGCGGUGAAAUGCGUAGAUAUCUGGAGGAACAUCAGUGGCGAAGAC